GGGACUUCUUUUCGGACGAUCUGUGAGAGCAAAGCAGACAAGAUGUAGGCAGGGGACUGAUAGUUCUGGUGGCGGAAUCCACCACUGGAAGAUUUCGAACAUAGAAUAGUUGAUGAAUUUAGGAUGAUAGAGUCCGUGCCCAGCGAUUGUGUGAUCUGUUGAUUCUAAACUAAGAUUGUCGGGUGUAUUCCAUUCUGCAACGAUUCAACUGAGCGCCAGUGAAAGGAUUUUCAUGACUUUUCCCAGUUAUUUUCGUUAUACUUAAUUCCUCAGUAUUAACCACUCUCUGGGACUUCGGAGGAGCCAUCUUCUGCCUGAUUGUGACACCUGCCCCGUGAUUCCUCCUUCUGUCCAUUCCAACCCAGCAGGUCCAGAGUUUUCACAGACAUAUACUUGCUAGACAUCAUUAAUGCAAGCAGCUCACCAUGCUCUGACCACUCAGUAUGAGGAGUAUAAAGUCCUUUCAUAUCUGCUAUCACCCAGAAAGACUGCAGUUAUUUCCCGUUAAUCUCUAUCAAGAGCAAACCUGUUUCCGAAGCACAUUCUCAACCUGGCUCCUUGCUCCUCAGGGUUAUUCUCUCGUUCUGGCUGAAAUGUCAUUGUCUUGCGGGU
rnacentral:lncRNA from 1 species